UGCCAGCCGCCGCGGUAAUACGGGGGGUGCAAGCGUUAAUCGGAAUUACUGGGCGUAAAGCGCGCGUAGGCGGUUGGGUAAGUCGGAUGUGAAAGCCCUGGGCUUAACCUGGGAAUUGCAUUCGAUACUGCCCAGCUAGAGUAUGGGAGAGGGAAGCGGAAUUUCCGGUGUAGCGGUGAAAUGCGUAGAUAUCGGAAGGAACACCAGUGGCGAAGGCGGCUUCCUGGCCCAAUACUGACGCUGAGGUGCGAAAGCGUGGGGAGCGAACAGGAUUAGAUA
rnacentral:rRNA from 1 species